GUCCGCUCCCCACUCAUUUCAUCUCAUCUGAACAGAUCUCAUCUCAUCAGAACAGAACUCAUCUCAUCUUAUCCCUCCACACCCACACCCCACUACACCACCACACCCCACCACACACCUCCACACACCACUACACCACCUCCACACACCACUACACACCUCCACACACCACCUCCACACUACACCACCUCCACACACCACUACACACCUCCACACACCACUACACCACCUCCACACACCACUACACCACCUCCACACGCCUCCACACACCACUACAACACCUCCACACGCCUCCACACCCCACUACACCACCUCCACACACCACUACAACACCUCCACACCCCACUACACCACCUCCACACACCACUACACACCUCCACACACCACUACACCACCUCCACACACCACUACACACCUCCACACACCACUACACCAUCUCCACACACCCCACUACAACACCUCCACAUGCCUCCACACACCACUACACCACCUCCACACACCACUACACCACCUCCACACACCACUACACACCUCCACACACCACUACACCACCUCCACACCCCACCACACACCUCCACACACCACUACACCACCUCCACACCCCACUACACCACCUCCACACACCACUACACACCUCCACACACCACUACACACCUCCACACACCACUACACCACCUCCACACACCACUACACACCUCCACACACCACUACACACCUCCACACACCACUACACCACCUCCACACCCCACUACACCACCUCCACACACCUCCACACACCUCCACACCCCACUACACCACCUCCACACCCCACUACACCACCUCCACACGCCUCCACACACCACUACACACCUCCACACACCACUACACCACCUCCACACCCCACUACACACCUCCACACACCACUACACCACCUCCACACCCCACUACAACACCUCCACACACCACCACACACCACUACACCACCUCCACACACCACUACACCACCUCCACACACCACUACACCACCUCAGCACACCACUACACACCUCCACACACCCCUACACCACCUCCACACCCCACCACACACCUCCACACCCCACCACACACCUCCACACACCACUACACCACCUCCACACCCCACCACACACCUCCACAAAACAUACAUGAUGUACUUUUGAGUACAAAACCAC
ensembl:lncRNA